rnacentral:hammerhead_ribozyme from 1 species
GUGCGAAACGCCCGCAGUGCGGGCGUCUGCCCGGUGUGGUGGCCGGCUACUGAUGAGCAGCCGAGA